rnacentral:rRNA from 1 species
UACGGAGGAUCCGAGCGUUAUCCGGAUUUAUUGGGUUUAAAGGGUGCGUAGGUGGAUUGAUAAGUCAGCGGUGAAAGUUUGCAGCUUAACUGUAAAAUUGCCGUUGAAACUGUCGGUCUUGAGUGCAAAUGAGGUAGGCGGAAUGUGUUGUGUAGCGGUGAAAUGCUUAGAUAUAACACAGAACUCCGAUUGCGAAGGCAGCUUACUGGGAUGCAACUGACACUGAUGCACGAAAGCGUGGGUAUCAAACAGGAUUAGAUACCCUGGUAGUCCACGCAGUAAACGAUGAAUACUAGCUGUAUGUGAUAUACCGUAUGUGGCACAGCGAAAGCGUUAAGUAUUCCACCUGGGGAGUACGUUCGCAAGAAUGAA